CAUGAGAGCGGGCUCUUACGUCGUCCUGCAAGUGGAUCCAUUCGUACGCCCACCCUUGCACUCACAUGACAGCCCCCUUCACAUCGUUUCCCGCAGCUUUCCUUCUGCAGACUGCGCUGGUGUUAGAAACUACGGCAACAGGACUGCGACUGCCGCCCAAGUAGGCUUCUACAUAUCCACGCAACUUUUAAUGAAGCGCCUUGCGUUUCAGCAGUCUUUGGCGGGUGUCCACGGACUUUCUGACACGACGCAACCUACUUCUCUGAUGCAAUUACAAACUGAAUAAACCAGACGCAGAGGAGACACCACCUUUGGCAAUCUGUCUGCGGUUUCCCGCCACUAAAGCCGUUCCACAGGUCGCCAGUGGCCUUGUGAGUGAGGGUGACACCAGGCGUCCGGGCCUGUCCUCCCCCACAGGAGUGCUCCAGCGGGAGGAUCUCACAGGCCCAAUUACUGUAAUCACCCCCAUCAAAGAGCACAUGUCACUGGAGGGAGGCAGCCAGUCACCGGCCGGCCCGCCUGGACGCUACGCCAAACCAACCAGAGGUGAGAGUGUCACUG